UACAACCAUAAUUUUAUUGUGAUUAUUAUUGGAACUGUGUACUUCAUGGUUAAUUUAAAAUCCAAACCAAAACGAACAAUGGUAAACUUUUGGUUUCUCUAAUUACUCUCAAUUGAUCGUGUAGAAAUUUAUUUUUGAGUGCGCGCCAUUUUGGGGGCAAUUUUUCAGCGAUUUCAGAAUAUCUUGGAUGAUGCUGUUCCAUGGCUCCGGUUACAGGAAGCGGCUCUUGACAAAGCCUUCGGAAAAAUCCCCCCGGAGACGGCAGUGGAUAACGAGCCGUCGGGAAUGUACAGUGUUAGCCGAUUCUCGCAGAGGACGACCUCGGGAAGGAUCCUUUUCUACUGGCGAAUUCAAAUGACAAGUCCGGGAGCAUCUGUAGCUGAUGGAUACAUACCCAGGCAGCUGACGGUCCACCAAGACGGAAACGAAUUUGGGAUCAUGCACCAUUUGCAGCAGGUCGGAGCUGUAUUAUUACACCUUCAGAACGGGAUCGAGGUGCAGAAAUUCAUGAAAUUGUGCAAAAUUGUUUUAAAGUGAUAAGUGCAAAAAAAUUGUUAAAAGAAGCCAAAUUGUGAAAAUGAUUUUCCUCAUCAAUAUUGUGUAUUUUUUUAAAUUUCGUUUUUGAACAAGUAACUCACAACAAUUGAAUCAAAAUUAACCAGUUUGCUAAAGUUAUUCCUUGUUUUGAAGAAUAUUAUUCCUGAUUGAUCGUGCUUUGUGAUAAACAUAAACCAAGUUUUUUCAAAAGCACGACGAAUCAUAAAUAAAAUUCUUUGAAACGAGUGAUAACU